UGAUGCAUCUCCAUAUGAAUCUUCAAUGCAUGCUCUUCAACCACAAUCGAGGAGUGGAAUGCAUCUCUAAGUGGAUCUCCAACGCAUGCUCUUCAGCCACGAUCGAGAAGUGGAACAUGUCUCCAUAGAAUGUGUCUCCAUACGGAUCUCCAACGUGAGCUCCUCAACUAUGGCCGAGGAGUGGAGCCGAUCUCCAUAUGGUCUCCAAUGUACGCUCCUCAUCCAUAAAUGAGCUGAGCGAAGCACAUCUAUAUGAUCUCCUACAAGUUCCUCAUCUUUUUACAAGCUAA
rnacentral:lncRNA from 1 species